CACGUAGGGCGCAAGCGUUGUCCGGAAUUAUUGGGCGUAAAGAGCUCGUAGGCGGUCUGUUGCGUCCGCUGUGAAAACUCGGGGCUUAACCCCGAGCCUGCAGUGGAUACGGGCAGACUAGAGGUAGGUAGGGGAGAAUGGAAUUCCCGGUGUAGCGGUGAAAUGCGCAGAUAUCGGGAGGAACACCGGUGGCGAAAGCGGCGUGCUGGACCUCUUCUGACGCUGAGGCGCGAAAGCCAGGGGAGCAAAGCGGGG
rnacentral:rRNA from 1 species